rnacentral:rRNA from 1 species
AUUGAACGCUGGCGGCAUGCUUUACACAUGCAAGUCGAACGGCAGCGCGGACUUCGGUCUGGCGGCGAGUGGCGAACGGGUGAGUAAUAUAUCGGAACGUACCCAGGGGUGGGGGAUAACGUAGCGAAAGUUACGCUAAUACCGCAUACGCUCUACGGAGGAAAGCAGGGGAUCGCAAGACCUUGCGCGCUUGGAGCGGCCGAUAUCUGAUUAGCUAGUUGGUGGGGUAAAGGCUCACCAAGGCAACGAUCAGUAGCUGGUCUGAGAGGACGACCAGCCACACUGGGAAUGGGACACGGCCCAGACUCCUACGGGAGGCAGCAGUGGGGAAUUUUGGACAAUGGGGGCAACCCUGAUCCAGCAAUGCCGCGUGAGUGAAGAAGGCCUUCGGGUUGUAAAGCUCUUUUGUCAGGGAAGAAACGGUUUUGGCUAAUAUCCAGAGCUAAUGACGGUACCUGAAGAAUAAGCACCGGCUAACUACGUGCCAGCCGCCGCGGUAAGAC